rnacentral:rRNA from 1 species
UACGUAGGGGGCAAGCGUUGUCCGGAAUUAUUGGGCGUAAAGAGCGUGUAGGCGGUCCGGUAAGUCAGCUGUGAAAGUCAAGGGCUCAACCCUUGAAUGCCGGUUGAUACUGUCGGGCUAGAGUCCGGAAGAGGCGAGUGGAAUUCCCGGUGUAGCGGUGAAAUGCGCAGAUAUCGGGAGGAACACCGGUGGCGAAGGCGGGUCUCUGGGCCGUAACUGACGCUGAGGAGCGAAAGCAUGGGGAGCGAACAGG